rnacentral:rRNA from 1 species
AUUGAACGCUGGCGGCAGGCCUAACACAUGCAAGUCGAACGGUAGCACAGAGAGCUUGCUCUCGGGUGACGAGUGGCGGACGGGUGAGUAAUGUCUGGGAAACUGCCCGAUGGAGGGGGAUAACUACUGGAAACGGUAGCUAAUACAGCAUAACGUCGCAAGACCAAAGUGGGGGACCUUCGGGCCUCACACCAUCGGAUGUGCCCAGAUGGGAUUAGCUAGUAGGUGGGGUAAUGGCUCACCUAGGCGACGAUCCCUAGCUGGUCUGAGAGGAUGACCAGCCACACUGGAACUGAGACGCGGUCCAGACUCCUACGGGAGGCAGCAGUGGGGAAUAUUGCACAAUGGGCGCAAGCCUGAUGCAGCCAUGCCGCGUGUAUGAAGAAGGCCUUCGGGUUGUAAAGUACUUUCAGCGGGGAGGAAGGCGGUGGAGUUAAUAACUUCACCGAUUGACGUUACCCGCAGAAGAAGCACCGGCUAACUCCGUGCCAGCAGCCGCCGUAA